AUACAUGUUUUUAUUAUAGUAAAAAUGGUAUGUAGGAAUUUCGGACGCGGGUUCAACUCCCGCCAGCUCCACCA
rnacentral:tmRNA from 1 species